rnacentral:rRNA from 1 species
UUAGAGUUUGAUAGUGGCUCAGAUUGAACGCUGGCGGCAGGCCUAACACAUGCAAGUCGAACGGUAACAGGAAACAGCUUGCUGUUUCGCUGACGAGUGGCGGACGGGUGAGUAAUGUCUGGGAAACUGCCUGAUGGAGGGGGAUAACUACUGGAAACGGUAGCUAAUACCGCAUAACGUCGCAAGACCAAAGAGGGGGACCUUCGGGCCUCUUGCCAUCGGAUGUGCCCAGAUGGGAUUAGCUAGUAGGUGGGGUAACGGCUCACCUAGGCGACGAUCCCUAGCUGGUCUGAGAGGAUGACCAGCCACACUGGAACUGAGACACGGUCCAGACUCCUACGGGAGGCAGCAGUGGGGAAUAUUGCACAAUGGGCGCAAGCCUGAUGCAGCCAUGCCGCGUGUAUGAAGAAGGCCUUCGGGUUGUAAAGUACUUUCAGCGGGGAGGAAGGGAGUAAAGUUAAUACCUUUGCUCAUUGACGUUACCCGCAGAAGAAGCACCGGCUAACUCCGUGCCAGCAGCCGCGGUAAUACGGAGGGUGCAAGCGUUAAUCGGAAUUACUGGGCGUAAAGCGCACGCAGGGCGGUUUGUUAAAGUCAGAUGUGAAAUCCCCGGGCUCAACCUGGGAACUGCAUCUGAUACUGGCAAGCUUGAGUCUCGUAGAGGGGGGGUAGAAUUCCAGGUGUAGCGGUGAAAUGCGUAGAGAUCUGGAGGAAUACCGGUGGCGAAGGCGGCCCCCUGGACGAAGACUGACGCUCAGGUGCGAAAGCGUGGGGAGCAAACAGGAUUAGAUACCCUGGUAGUCCACGCCGUAAACGAUGUCGACUUGGAGGUUGUGCCCUUGAGGCGUGGCUUCCGGAGCUAACGCGUUAAGUCGACCGCCUGGGGAGUACGGCCGCAAGGUUAAAACUCAAAUGAAUUGACGGGGGCCCGCACAAGCGGUGGAGCAUGUGGUUUAAUUCGAUGCAACGCGAAGAACCUUACCUGGUCUUGACAUCCACAGAACUUUCCAGAGAUGGAUUGGUGCCUUCGGGAACUGUGAGACAGGUGCUGCAUGGCUGUCGUCAGCUCGUGUUGUGAAAUGUUGGGUUAAGUCCCGCAACGAGCGCAACCCUUAUCCUUUGUUGCCAGCGGUCCGGCCGGGAACUCAAAGGAGACUGCCAGUGAUAAACUGGAGGAAGGUGGGGAUGACGUCAAGUCAUCAUGGCCCUUACGACCAGGGCUACACACGUGCUACAAUGGCGCAUACAAAGAGAAGCGACCUCGCGAGAGCAAGCGGACCUCAUAAAGUGCGUCGUAGUCCGGAUUGGAGUCUGCAACUCGACUCCAUGAAGUCGGAAUCGCUAGUAAUCGUGGAUCAGAAUGCCACGGUGAAUACGUUCCCGGGCCUUGUACACACCGCCCGUCACACCAUGGGAGUGGGUUGCAAAAGAAGUAGGUAGCUUAACCUUCGGGAGGGCGCUUACCACUUUGUGAUUCAUGACUGGGGUGAAGUCGUAACAAGGUAACAGUAGGGGAACCUGCGGUUGGAUCACCUCC